rnacentral:lncRNA from 12 species
AUGCCAUCCACUGCCCCCCACCCCGGUCCUGGGGGCCUUGGGUUGUGGGCCUCCCCUCAGGAACUUACACAGGUGAGCGGCAAGGUGACACGGUCGCACGAGGCAGGGCACACCCGCCCCUUGUCCCCUGGGGUCUGCGCAGGCGCACAGGCACCUGCGCAUGCGCGAGCUUCAGGCUGCUCCAGAGCGGUGACUGGAGGUCAAGGCCUGUGCGUGCGGGAGGCGGCCAGUCGGCAUCGUAUUAUUCUGGGAAUGAACGCCUUACUAUCAACAACUGGCAGAGCAGAAGAAAAGGAGGAUAAUUGGCACAAAUCACACAGUCCUGGUGGUCAAGGCGUUCCAAAGUAAGUACCUGUUGGUUCUCAAACACAGGGUGAGGAGAGACAGAGGAAAGAAACAGGCCAGUCCAGAUUGAAGGGUGGCAGGUUUAAAAAGCAAGGGAACUUGUCUUAGCAGCCACAAGGUAAAGAGAUCUCAACACCAGCCCACCAGAAUCUUGUUUAUACAGAGGCCUUAACAGGGUUCCGCUCCCUUAUACUAUCAGACAGUCCCAACAGCACCUUACUGUCUCAAGGCUGCGGCCUUGGAAAUGGUUCCCACUGUGGGAAUGAUGGGCAGAUCCUACAACCCAAGGGAAAGAGAGUUGGUGAGGAGCCUCUAAUUGCCACAUCCAGCUCAUGGAUCAACCAGCAGUCACGUCCUCGCAUGACCUGCUCCAAUAGUACCAUCUGAAAUGUCUUAGAUAGUCUUUCCUUUCUAGGGACCUAAAAACUGUUUGCCUAGAGGCCACCUUCUUGACAGCCCUUCUUUCAUCCACUUUUCUUCUGGGAUAUUUGUACUUUUUCAUAUUGAUUUAUAAGAGCCUUUUAGAGUUUGUUGUUUACCUUUUAAUUCUGUUUAGGUUUAUUUGCUUUCAUUCUCAUUUAAUAAGGGAAGUAUUAAGGCCAUAGAUUUGUCUCUGCAGUUUUGGUCAUAUCCUGUGGGUUCUUACAGGGAGUUUCUUUGUUGUUGUAAUCAAUUUUUACAUCUGCGAUUUAUUUUUCUUUGCACCUAGGUUUAGUACAUAAAUAUAGAAGAGAAAACAAAAUCAGGACGGCACAAUGACCAACUCGCAUUACCUGUUAGAUUUUGACUCUUGAAUAGUUAUCGAAUAUUAAACAAAGCACAUAAAGACCAUAACCAUGAGGAUAUGCUCAAGUAGAGUAAUCGAGGUUUGUUUGGGUUUUUUUUCCAAUUCAAAGGUUAAAGAAAAAAUAUGGGAGCAGGGAGAGAAUACAAAUUCUAAAAGGCAAAAUUUUUACAUAGUCACUGUCAGAAGUUGUAUGAGAUUAAAAUAAUAUUGCACUCAUGAUCAGAUAAUGCUUUAACAUACCAGAUGUGAUCCAUAAUACAUAGGUCUCAGGAAAUGAAAACAACCAAAGCCAGGCUGCAGACCAGCCAGCAUGGGCUUGUAGUGGAGCGCCGUCAAGCGAAAAACAUGUCACCAUAGCAAACUUCCCUGAGGUCUAUUUGACUAGAACCAGAAAUUACCUUCAUGAUUAAUAGUGUAUGUAGCACUGUUUAUACUAUAGCACUGACAGUUUAGAAAUUAUUGACAUUUCCAAAAGAGUCAUCUGAUAAGAGAUUUUGAAAUUAUUUGAAUUGAGGACAGUCCAUGGCUUCUUGUCAAAUUAAGCUCCUAUUACAAAAAAAAAACAAAAAAAACAAAAAAAACAAAAAAAAAAAGCAUCUAUUACAAGACACAGACCAUGAAGAAUCCCAGAACAAGCUAUAGGGACGCAAAAUUUGAUGAACUGAUGCACAGACAUUAACUGAACCAAGGUUUUUACUGAAUUUUACAUUAUACCUUUUCAGGUGAAAGCUGCAUGUAAAAUAUGUGCAAUAUAUGAGAAAAACAGGCAACCCUGAUUUUGCUCAAUCAUAUUUGGCAAUGUUUAAUUAUCAAAAAAUAUUAAAUUGGGGGAACCUGGAUGGCUCAGCAGUUGAGCCUCUGCCUUCAGUUCGGGUCCUGGGAUCGAGGCCCGCAUCGGGCCCCCUGCAUGGAGCCUGCUUCUCCCUCUGCCUAUGUCUCUGCCUCUCUCUGUGUGUCUCUCAUGAAUAAAUAAAUAAAUAAAAUCUUAAAAAAAAAAAAA